UGUGUUGAGCAUUGUGCUUGAAUCUUUCUCACAAAACAGUGGACAUAAGACAAAAUUGGUAAAUUUAGGCAAUGAACAAUGAAAAAGCUUUUAGAUGUUUCCUGAAGCUUAUCUGUGAAUUUGAAACUAUCAUAAUGAAAAAUUAACAACUGAAGAAGUUUGAAAAGAGAGAAACUGAAAGGGAAGCAGGAAUUAGGGAGAAAGAAAGACCACUCUAGAAGCAUCCCUGCUGCAGGGAGGGAGUGGGGGUUUGAACCCCAGGCUUCAUUCAUCCUAAGGUGAACACUUAACCAGCCACCAGGUUCCAGAUGCAAGCAAGAUGCUGACCAGACUUCCCUGGACAGACGACCCCAUCAAUGUGUACUGGCGCUCCACUCCCUCAGAGCCCCACCCUACUAGGGAAAGAGAGAGACAGACUGGAGUAUGGAUUGACCAGUCAAUGCCCAUGUUCAGCAGGGAAGCAAUUACAGAAGCCAGACCAUCCACCCUCUGCAACCCACAACGACCCUGGAUCCAUACUCCCAGAG